UUAUCAUUUUUUCCAUUUCGAAACUUUCUAUUCAAUAUGGAUCUUAAGUCCCCCUUUUUGAUGUUGUUGAAGGAGUGAUAAAGAAUGUUCGGAAUUCGUCUACUAAUUGUAUAAGAAACUGGAUAAGUGCACUGUAAAACCUGGAAUUACCCACAAAUUGCACAUGUAAAUGUCAUUACACAAUCUGAAGUAAGAUGGUUGUCUUCGGUUUUGACAAUGCGUCCACUUUCCCCCGUAAAAUACAAUACAAGUUCUAGCUUCACAUGUACAAAAUAUCAAUUAUUGACCUUGGGUUCAGAGGUCAAGUCACACUGCAGUCCUUAUAGCACAUGACCUACCCUCCUU
rnacentral:lncRNA from 1 species